GCUUGGAUGGUGGAAUGGUAGACACUAAGGACUUAAAAUCCUUUGGUAGCAAUACCGUGCGGGUUCGAGUCCCGCUCCGAGCA
rnacentral:tRNA from 1 species